rnacentral:rRNA from 1 species
UACGGAGGAUCCAAGCGUUAUCCAGAUUUAUUGGGUUUAAAGGGUGCGUAGGCGGCUUAUUAAGUCAGUGGUGAAAGCCUGCAGCUUAACUGCAGAACUGCCAUUGAUACUGAUGAGCUUGAGUAUACUUGAGGUGGGCGGAAUGUGUCAUGUAGCGGUGAAAUGCUUAGAUAUGACACAGAACACCGAUUGCGAAGGCAGCUCGCUAAAGUACAACUGACGCUGAGGCACGAAAGCGUGGGGAGCAAACAGG